GAAGUUACUUCGGUACAUCGGUGCAGGUGGUGCAUGGUUGUCGUCAGCUCGUGUCGUGAGAUGUUGGGUUAAGUCCCGCAACGAGCGCAACCCCUAUUGUUAGUUGCCAUCAUUCAGUUGGGCACUCUAGCGAGACUGCCGGUAAUAAACCGGAGGAAGGUGGGGAUGACGUCAAAUCAUCAUGCCCCUUAUGACCUGGGCUACACACGUGCUACAAUGGUUGGUACAACGAGUUGCGAGUCGGUGACGGCGAGCUAAUCUCUUAAAGCCAAUCUCAGUUCGGAUUGUAGGCUGCAACUCGCCUACAUGAAGUCGGAAUCGCUAGUAAUCGCGGAUCAGCACGCCGCGGUGAAUUACCGGUUCCCGGGCCUU
rnacentral:rRNA from 1 species